rnacentral:lncRNA from 1 species
UUUUGUAUUGUGUUAGGCAUGUAGGAUCCCUAGUCCUAUAAAUAGUCAUGCCUACCUUAUUGUACUUCACUUUUGAGAUUAAUGAGAAUAGAAUUUUCUAAAUCAGAAAAAUAUUCUCUCUUGAAAGUCAUAGGCUAGAGAGUCCAAAGACUCCCUCUAGCCACCUUCCAAGCACAUUCUCUCACUUCAUUUUCCAUUUUUCCACCGUGCUUCUCUCUCCUCACUAACACAGAAUUACCUCUCCUCCAAUAAGCUUCAAGCACGCAGCCACACGUCUUUCUCUUGAAGCUUCGCCAGCCGCAUCUCAUUUGAUGCCUCAUUCUUCUCUCACACAUAUCAUCACUUUCAUUUCGCGUCUUCUCUACGACACACAAACCACCUCUGCUAGGGUUUCUUGUUCUAGUGCCGUCACGCCAUUUCCUCAUCACAGAUCCACCAUCGUGGCCAUUUUCACCGGUAAGAACUACUCCUCUUCAUAGAUCCAUCCUCCUCCUCCAUCUUGCUAGGUUUUCUACCGAUUAAAAACCUUCAUUCAUCAUCUCCGUCCAUUUCUACCGAUUGAUUCGGCUUUUAGACCGAUUAAACACGUUUCCAACCUUCAUCUCCACCGAUUAAAACACUAUUCCCACCGUUUAAUCGGUCCAAAUCCAGUUUCCCCUCUUUUCUAGAGUUCCAUAGGUCAUCCUAGGGUUUUUAGAGUUCUUCGAGUCUCAUAUACAUUCCGCUGCGUAUUUCUUUGCCGGAGAAGCUUCGAGGAGGUCGAAUCGGGUUCGCACAGCUCCAAUCUGGCGUUCUCCUCAAGGCAUCUUCUAUCAAAGGGGGAGAUUUUUACAUUAAUCUUUUUUAUUAUGAUCAAAAAGGGGGAGAAAAAAAAAUAUAACGGGAGUGUUAACAGAUUGCCAAGCGUACCAAAUCGUUCAAGUAAUAAAAAUGGUAAGACCAAGUAUCGUUUUCCUAAGAGACUCGAAAGGCUUUCUCGUUCGUGUGAAUUAAAAUAAUAAGACUUGAAAAUAAAAAUUAAUAAAUUGAGUAAGAGAAUAAAAUAUGAACAUGUAAAAGAGAUUGAUUCAAAUGACAAGAAGAAAACAAUGGAUGAAUGGAGUUGUUGGGGGUUUACAAUUUCAUCUUUAUCCGCUCUCUCUUAUCUACUCCUCUUGAAUUAUUAGUUUGAUUAAUUAAUUGUCAUGCAACUUUCUUAGCCUACCCUUAACUCGAUCCCUCGGCGAAAAGAGCCUAAUACUAACUACUGGCUUGCUAUCCCUAGCCUCCCCUAGCAAUUAAUACAGCAUUACAGAGCAGAAGUUAAACACAAUUGAUCGUCAUACCCC